rnacentral:rRNA from 1 species
GCCCUCAGUAAACGGCGAAGUGAAGCGGGCAACAGCUUCAAAUUUUGAAAUCUGGCCCCUUUUGGGUCCCGAGUUGUAUUUUGUAGAGAGUGUUUCGGGUGAGACCACGGUCUAAGUCCAUUGGAACAUGGCGUCAUAGAGGGUGAGAAUCCCGUAUGUGACUGUGGAUCGAGCCCAUGUGAAGCCUCUUCGACGAGUCGAGUUGUUUGGGAAUGCAGCUCAAAAUGGGUGGUAAAUUUCAUCUAAAGCUAAAUACUGGCUGGAGACCGAUAGCGCACAAGUAGAGUGAUCGAAAGAUGAAAAGCACUUUGGAAAGAGAGUCAAACAGUACGUGAAAUUGUUGAAAGGGAAGCGCUUGCAACCAGAACUGUCCGUAGGUGAUCAGCCGCUGUUCUCAGUGGUGCCACUCGCUCUGCGAUCAGGCCAGCAUCGGUUCGGGCGGUCGGAUAAAGGCCUUGGGAAUGUAGCUUCCUUCGGGGAGUCUUAUAGCCCUCGGUGCAAUGCGGCCAGCCGGGACCGAGGACCGCGCUUCGGCUAGGAUGCUGGCGUAAUGGUUGUAAGCGACCCGUCUUGAAACACGGACCAAGGAGUCUAACAUCUAUGCGAGUGUUUGGGUGUUAAACCCAUGCGCGGAAUGAAAGUGAACGGAGGUGAGAACCCUUAAGGGCGCAUCAUCGACCGAUCCAGAUGUCUUCGGAUGGAUUUGAGUAUGAGCAUAGCUGUUGGGACCCGAAAGGUACGUUUACCCUCCCCCUUUAGUAAUUAGAUUUAAGCUAACAUUUUUCGACAGAUGGUGAACUAUGCCUGAAUAGGGUGAAGCCAGAGGAAACUCUGGUGGAGGCUCGCAGCGGUUUCUGACGUGCAAAUCGAUCGUCAAAUUUGGGUAUAGGGGCGAAAGACUAUCGA